UACGGAGGGUGCGAGCGUUAAUCGGAAUAACUGGGCGUAAAGGGCACGCAGGCGGUGACUUAAGUGAGGUGUGAAAGCCCCGGGCUUAACCUGGGAAUUGCAUUUCAUACUGGGUCGCUAGAGUACUUUAGGGAGGGGUAGAAUUCCACGUGUAGCGGUGAAAUGCGUAGAGAUGUGGAGGAAUACCGAAGGCGAAGGCAGCCCCUUGGGAAUGUACUGACGCUCAUGUGCGAAAGCGUGGGGAGCAAACAGGAUUAGAUACCCUGGUAGUCCACGCUGUAAACGAUGUCGAUUUGGGGGUUGAGCUUUAAGUUUGGCGCCCGUAGCUAACGUGAUAAAUCGACCGCCUGGGGAGUACGGCCGCAAGGUUAAAACUCAAAUGAAUUGACGGGGGCCCGCACAAGCGGUGGAGCAUGUGGUUUAAUUCGAUGCAACGCGAAGAACCUUACCUACUCUUGACAUCCAGAGAACAUUCCAGAGAUGGAUUGGUGCCUUCGGGAACUCUGAGACAGGUGCUGCAUGGCUGUCGUCAGCUCGUGUUGUGAAAUGUUG
rnacentral:rRNA from 1 species